CCUACGGGAGGCAGCAGUGAGGAAUAUUGGUCAAUGGACGCAAGUCUGAACCAGCCAAGUAGCGUGCAGGAUGACGGCCCUCCGGGUUGUAAACUGCUUUUAGUUGGGAAUAAAAGGGGGCUCGUGAGCCCCGUAUUGUAUGUACCAUCAGAAAAAGGACCGGCUAAUUCCGUGCCAGCAGCCGCGGUAAUACGGAAGGUCCGGGCGUUAUCCGGAUUUAUUGGGUUUAAAGGGAGCGUAGGCCGGCUUUUAAUGCAGCUGUGAAAGUCAGGGGCUCAACCGUGGGAUUGCAGUGGAAACGGGAGGCCUUGAGUGCAGAAAGGGAAGGCGGAAUUCAGGGUGUAGCGGUGAAAUGCUUAGAUAUAAUGAAGAACACCGAUCGCGAAGGCAAGUGUCCGGGGUGCAACUGACGCUGAGGCUCGAAAGUGCGGGUAUCAAACAGGAUUAGAUACCCCAGUAGUC
rnacentral:rRNA from 1 species